rnacentral:rRNA from 1 species
AUUGAACGCUGGCGGCAGGCCUAACACAUGCAAGUCGAGCGGAUGAAGGGAGCUUGCUCCUGGAUUCAGCGGCGGACGGGUGAGUAAUGCCUAGGAAUCUGCCUGGUAGUGGGGGAUAACGUCCGGAAACGGGCGCUAAUACCGCAUACGUCCUGAGGGAGAAAGUGGGGGAUCUUCGGACCUCACGCUAUCAGAUGAGCCUAGGUCGGAUUAGCUAGUUGGUGGGGUAAAGGCCUACCAAGGCGACGAUCCGUAACUGGUCUGAGAGGAUGAUCAGUCACACUGGAACUGAGACACGGUCCAGACUCCUACGGGAGGCAGCAGUGGGGAAUAUUGGACAAUGGGCGAAAGCCUGAUCCAGCCAUGCCGCGUGUGUGAAGAAGGUCUUCGGAUUGUAAAGCACGUUAAGUUGGGAGGAAGGGCAGUAAGUUAAUACCUUGCUGUUGUGACGGUACCAACAGAAUAAGCACCGGCUAACUUCGUG